rnacentral:lncRNA from 1 species
GACCAUUUCAUUAAGUUUUUAAGUGCCUGGUAAUUGCUUGGUUAUGACCGGUGUCUGCUCCAUGGCAGCCUCUUCCUGGGACCAGAUCUGAACAGUCUGGAGAGAGGAGCUGUGGUGGCAGCAGACAGAUCUCUGCUUCAGGGGCCAGGUGUCUAGAAGAAAUGCUGAGGCAGUGUCACGCUGGUGUCUGUCCUCCUUACAGAAUGCCUGAACAGUUCCAUUGACUCAAAGUGAAGAUCAAAAGAACCAAAUGACAGCAAUAGCCAAGUGUAAUCAUCAGUAACCCUGUGUUCUAUCCACAGGUGGGUCCACUAGAUGCUGUGGCUCAUGACAGAUCUUCAGAUGUUUGGUGAGGACCCACACAGGCACCUGAUCAUCACCUGGAGAGACACAAACAAAUCCUCUUCCUCAUAUUAAAGAAUGGAAUUCUUGUGCAUCAGCAAAGACCACAGACACCAAUGCAUCUGCCCUUUAAGUUUAAAGGACCAAAGAGUCCUAUUGGAGAAAAAAGAAAAAGCAUUUUUAUCCUUACCUUCCCCCGCUCUAUUCCUUUUAUAUUUGCCCUUUGAGCCAUAGCUAAUUUCCAUAAUUCAGAAU